rnacentral:lncRNA from 1 species
UUUGGAUGGGUUUCGCUUCUUUUCUUAUCAAAAGUUAUCUAUGGAACGAAAACGUCGAUUCGUGGAUGGAGUUAUGUCUUGUGGUCGCGCAUGUUGCAGAGUAAAAAGAAUAGUUGUUGCAUUUUUUAUUUUUUUUGUUUGGUUUCGUGGACGAAUUAAAAUGGUGGGAAAUCGAUUGAUUGGAAUGGCAAUAACAUCGGUAACUAGCGGACAAGAGCUUUUCACAUGGAAGCUCUCUGUAUAAAUCCAAUAAUGGUGUGUGUUGCUUCCAACUAGUAUAUAGACAUCAUCCUUUUUAUAGAUAUCACUGAUUGCGAUAA